AGACACGGUCCAAACUCCUACGGGAGGCAGCAGUGAGGAAUAUUGGUCAAUGGCCGGAAGGCUGAACCAGCCAAGUCGCGUGAGGGAAUAAGGCCCUACGGGUCGUAAACCUCUUUUGUCAGGGAGCAAGGCCGCCCACGUGUGGACGGAAGGAGAGUACCUGGAGAAAAAGCAUCGGCUAACUCCGUGCCAGCAGCCGCGGUAAUACGGAGGAUGCGAGCGUUAUCCGGAUUUAUCGGGUUUAAAGGGUGCGUAGGCGGCCUGCCAAGUCAGCGGUAAAAUUGCGGGGCUCAACCCCGUACAGCCGUUGAAACUGCCGGGCUCGAGUGGGCGAGAAGUAUGCGGAAUGCGUGGUGUAGCGGUGAAAUGCAUAGAUAUCACGCAGAACCCCGAUUGCGAAGGCAGCAUACCGGCGCCCUACUGACGCUGAGGCACGAAAGUGCGGGGAUCAAACAGGAUUAGAUACCCUGGUAGUCCGCACAGUAAACGAUGAAUGCUAGCUGUCCGGGGGGAUUGACCCCUGG
rnacentral:rRNA from 1 species